CACUCCUACGGGAGGCAGCAGUGGGGAAUAUUGCACAAUGGGCGCAAGCCUGAUGCAGCGACGCCGCGUGGGGGAUGAAGGCCUUCGGGUUGUAAACUCCUUUCGCUAGGGACGAAGCUUUUUUGUGACGGUACCUAGAUAAGAAGCACCGGCUAACUACGUGCCAGCAGCCGCGGUAAUACGUAGGGUGCGAGCGUUGUCCGGAAUUACUGGGCGUAAAGGGCUCGUAGGUGGUUUGUCGCGUCGUCUGUGAAAUUCUGGGGCUUAACUCCGGGCGUGCAGGCGAUACGGGCAUAACUUGAGUGCUGUAGGGGUAACUGGAAUUCCUGGUGUAGCGGUGAAAUGCGCAGAUAUCAGGAGGAACACCGAUGGCGAAGGCAGGUUACUGGGCAGUUACUGACGCUGAGGAGCGAAAGCAUGGGUAGCGAACAGGAUUAGAUACCCUGGUAGUCCC
rnacentral:rRNA from 1 species